rnacentral:rRNA from 1 species
CCCUUAGAUGUUCUGGGCCGCACGCGUGCUACACUGAGUGGAUCAGCGGGUUAGGUAACACGAAAGUGUAUCCUAAUCUUCAAAUCCGCUCGUGAUGGGGAUUGAUGGUUGCAAUUUUUUAUCAUGAACGAGGAAUACCUUGUAAGCGCGGGUCAUCAUCCCGCGCUGAAUACGUCCCUGCCCUUUGUACACACCGCCCGUCGCUCCUACCGAUUGAGUGGUCCGGUGAGGCUUUGGGAUCUGAGCGGAAAGAGCGUUUCGCUGUUUCUGCUCGGAAAACUCAGUCGAACCUUAUCAUUUAGAGGAAGGAGAAGUCGUAACA